UAGAGUUUGAUCCUGGCUCAGAACGAACGCUGGCGGCAUGCCUAACACAUGCAAGUCGAACGGGAUCCGGACUUCGGUCCGGUGAGAGUGGCGGACGGGUGAGUAACGCGUGGGAACCUGCCCAAUGGUCUGGGAUAACCGCGGGAAACUGCGGCUAAUACCGGAUAAGCCCGAGAGGGGAAAGAUUUAUCGCCGAUGGAGGGGCCCGCGUCCGAUUAGGUAGUUGGUGAGGUAACGGCUCACCAAGCCGACGAUCGGUAGCUGGUCUGAGAGGAUGAUCAGCCACACUGGGACUGAGAUACGGCCCAGACUCCUACGGGAGGCAGCAGUGGGGAAUAUUGGACAAUGGGGGCAACCCUGAUCCAGCAAUGCCGCGUGAGUGAUGAAGGCCUUAGGGUUGUAAAGCUCUUUUGGCGGGGACGAUGAUGACGGUACCCGCAGAAUAAGCCCCGGCUAACUUCGUGCCAGCAGCCGCGGUAAUACGAAGGGGGCGAGCGUUGUUCGGAAUUACUGGGCGUAAAGGGCGCGUAGGCGGCGACCCAAGUCAGAUGUGAAAGUCCUGGGCUUAACCUGGGGACUGCAUUUGAUACUGGGUUGCUUGAAUGCAGGAGAGGAUAGCGGAAUUCCCAGUGUAGAGGUGAAAUUCGUAGAUAUUGGGAAGAACACCGGUGGCGAAGGCGGCUAUCUGGACUGUGAUUGACGCUGAGGCGCGAAAGCGUGGGGAGCAAACAGGAUUAGAUACCCUGGUAGUCCACGCCGUAACGAUGAAUGCUAGACGCUGGGGAGCAUGCUCUUCGGUGUCGCAGCUAACGCAUUAAGCAUUCCGCCUGGGGAGUACGGUCGCAAGAUUAAAACUCAAAGGGAUUUGACGGGGGCCCG
rnacentral:rRNA from 1 species